ACCAGAAGCAGAGGCUGGCACCAUGUUUGUUAUGCAGCCUGCAGAACCGUAGUGAGACGAGCAUGAGUGGAGCAGGAGACGGCUGUCCCCCACCCACAAGGAAUAUCAGAUGAUGGUUCAGCGAUCAUCACAUUGCCUCUCUGAAAGUGAUAAAUUGGCAGCUGGCACCAGGGAGAGGCUAUUUCCUGAUGGCCCACACCUGUUGCACUAAGAUGUUAAUCGAAUGCAGAUUCCAGGGAGAAACAACUUCCUGGGCAUGUGCGUAAGAGACAAAAUGGCAGUAAAAAUUAGAGAAUGAGAUCAGAAUAUGGAUACAUUGCAAGAGGUGGAGCCCUGGAACAAAAGUAAGAGCUGAGGACUAUCCUGAUCAAAUAUGCAUACUUCAAAGAUUGCUUCAAUGGACCGAAUGGAAGGAAGAGGUUGCUGAUACCAUGGAAAUCAGUUAAAAGGCUCAUGAAAGAAUGCAAACAAAAAGUUUUUUCAACUGAAUUUGUCCUGCUCUACACCUCUUCCUCCACCCCUCCAAAAUAAAACAAGAUAAUACUGCCAAA
rnacentral:lncRNA from 1 species